CCUUGAUCAUCUCUAACAAAUACAGGGGAUCUCUGGCAUGACGUGACACUUCCUACGGCUCCCAUGGGCUCUCAGAAGGCGGGAAAAAGCUGAACGAUGUAAUUCCAUCCCCAGGCUGAAACACAUUAGCGCGUUUGGCAAGUGCUCUAUCAGAGGGCCAUUAGACUGAGGCUCGUGCAUGAGGGGAUAGCAUGCUUUUACUUUCACUCUCUUUGUAAUAAAAAAAACGAUUUCCCGGUCGGAAUAUUAUCGCUUUUUUACGAGAAAAAUGGCAUAAAAAUUGAUUUUAAACAGCGGUUGACAUGCUUCGAAGUACGGUAAGGGAAUAUUUAGAUUUUUUUUUGUCACAAAAUGCGCCGUGCUCGUAACCCUUCUUUCCCCUUUCGGAUAGUGUCUUGAACGCACGAACAAAACGCCGCUAUUUGGAUAUAACAAUGGAUUAUUUGGGACCAAACCAACAUUUGUUAUUAAAGUAGAAGUCCUGGGAGUGCAUUCUGACGAAGAACAGCAAAGAGCAUAUAACCAUCCAUGGAGAUCAGCGGACAAAGGGCUGGACAACAGGCUGCAUGGUUGCCAAGAAAGUG
rnacentral:lncRNA from 1 species